AGCCGCCGCGGUAAUACGUAGGUGGCAAGCGUUGUCCGGAUUUAUUGGGCGUAAAGCGAGCGCAGGCGGUCAAUUAAGUCUGAUGUGAAAGCCCCCGGCUCAACCGGGGAGGGUCAUUGGAAACUGGUUGACUUGAGUGCAGAAGAGGAGAGUGGAAUUCCAUGUGUAGCGGUGAAAUGCGUAGAUAUAUGGAGAAACACCAGUGGCGAAGGCGACUCUCUGGUCUGUAACUGACGCUGAGGCUCGAAAGCGUGGGUAGCAAACAGGAUUAGAUACCCGGGUAGUCCCUGUCUCUUAUACA
rnacentral:rRNA from 1 species